AAUUGUUCGCAAUGGGCGCAAGCCUGACGACGCAACGCCGCGUGGAGGACGAAGAUCUUCGGGUCGUAAACUCCUUUCGAUCGGGACGAAUGGCUGGUGGUCGAAUACGCCACCGGAAUGACGGUACCGAGAGGAGAAGCCCCGGCUAACUCCGUGCCAGCAGCCGCGGUAACACGUAGGGGGCAAGCGUUGUCCGGAUUUAUUGGGCGUAAAGAGCUCGUAGGUGGUUCAGUAAGUCGGGUGUGAAACCUCCAGGCUCAACCUGGAGACGCCACCCGAUACUGCUGUGACUAGAGUCCAGUAGGGGAGCGUGGAAUUCCUGGUGUAGCGGUGAAAUGCGCAGAUAUCAGGAGGAACACCAGUGGCGAAGGCGGCGCUCUGGGCUGGAACUGACACUGAGGAGCGAAAGCGUGGGGAGCGAAC
rnacentral:rRNA from 1 species